rnacentral:rRNA from 1 species
AAUGAACGCUGGCGGCGCGCCUAAUACAUGCAAGUCGAGCGAGAAGACGUAGCAAUACGUUUGUAAAGCGGCGAACGGGUGAGGAAUACAUGGGUAACCUACCCUAGAGUGGGGAAUAACUAGCCGAAAGGUUAGCUAAUACCGCGUACGCUCCUUGGGCCUCGGUUCAGGGAGGAAAGCGAUGCCGAGGGUAUCGCGCUCUUGGAUGGGCUCAUGUCCUAUCAGCUUGNGGUGAGGUAACGGCUCACCAAGGCUUCGACGGGUAGCUGGUCUGAGAGGACGAUCAGCCACACUGGCACUGCGACACGGGCCAGACUCC